AACGAACGCUGGCGGCAUGCCUAACACAUGCAAGUCGAACGUGAUCCGGGGCUUCGGCUCCGGUGAAAGUGGCGGACGGGUGAGUAACGCGUGGGAACCUGCCCAGUGGUAGGGGAUAACCGCGGGAAACUGCGGCUAAUACCCUAUGCGCCCUAUGGGGCAAAGAUUUAUCGCCAUUGGAGGGGCCCGCGUCGGAUUAGGUAGUUGGUGAGGUAACGGCUCACCAAGCCUUCGAUCCGUAGCUGGCUGAGAGGAUGAUCAGCCACACUGGGACUGAGACACGGCCCAGACUCCUACGGGAGGCAGCAGUGGGAGUAUUGGACAAUGGGGGCAACCCUGAUCCAGCAAUGCCGCGUGAGUGAUGAAGGCCUUAGGGUUGUAAAGCUCUUUCGGCGGGGAAGAUGAAUGACGGUACCCGCAGAAGAAGCCCCGGCUAACUUCGUGCCAGCCGCCGCCGUAAC
rnacentral:rRNA from 1 species